GGGGGGGGGUUCAAGCUGCGCCUCCAACAGUGGGCCUGACCUACAUAUGAACUCAGUCCAUAUCUUUUGUGUCGUGUUCAGAACAGCGAUUCCAUCGAGAUCAAACUGUUUGUCGCUGCUCCGUCUUCUUUGCUGCUGGAUCCAGAACACCAGACCAGCCUGUGCAUCGUCUCUCGUGCCAGAUGCUGCAGCUGUGCGUCAAAAAGGAAACCCUUCCCUUUGAACGCCACACCUGCCGCGGCGUGUUUCUCCCGCCGCUCUCCGCCUUCGUUCUCUUCCUCCUCGACGCGUGUCGCUGCUUGCUGCCCCGGAAGCCGAGCGGGAAACGCGAGGGAGAACCACAGAUUCGUGCGGAGUUGUGUUUUCAUACACACACUCAUGCACGUGGCAGUAAAUCAUUAAAGAGCAGUCUGAGUUUAUGGUAAAGUGCACGUAUGAAAGGUGGAGCAACACUUCCAAUGAUUUAUUCAGUGAGUGUAAUAUCCAUGGCAUCAUUUAUGAGGCGGUGCGUUUGCGUGUGCGACGGGCACAAGAAGAGGCCACGCUGAUCAUAUUGGGAAAUAUUUUACGCGAUAAGUUUGCAAAUUGGGACUUUUUACACCUUGACUUCAUUUUACAUCCACACAAAGACUGGGAUGAAAAAUAAUGGCUCAGCGUGCAACGUCCAUUUUGCAGCAAGUGAGAGGAAAAAAAGACGAAGAUGCCAUUUGCAGUCCAGUGUUAAAACAGGAAGCCAGCAGGAAGCCAACAGGAAGCCCGGCCGCUUGCAGCCGACCUCAGACUGGCCGUUUACAUCUGGUCGUACACGACGUACCGGGCGCAGGAUGAAAUGUGGUUCCGGAAGCAAUGAAAAAGAAUGAAGACCCAGCAGAGUGACUCCCACAGUAGCGAGAGGAUCUCAAAACAAAUAUGCUCUUGGGGAAAAGUCACAGUUUGUUUAAACUCGCUUGUGUCGACCCCCCCCCCGUCCGGCCCCCACGAACGGAGAAGAGGAUCCGUGAGCUUCU
ensembl:lncRNA